CCUACGGGAGGCAGCAGUAGGGAAUUUUCGUCAAUGGGCGCAAGCCAGAACGAGCAAUGCCGCGUGAACGAGGAAGGUCUUCGGAUCGUAAAGUUCUGUUGAAGGGGAAAAAGAGCGGAGAGAGGAAAUGGUCUCCGAUUGAUAUUACCCUUCGAGGAAUUCACGGCUAACUACGUGCCAGCAGCCGCGGUAAUACGUAGGUGGCAAGCGUUAUCCGGAAUGAUUGGGCGUAAAGGGUGCGUAGGCGGCCUGCUAAGUCUGGAGUGAAAGGUACCGGCUCAACCGGUACAGGCUCUGGAAACUGGCGGGCUAGAGAGCAGGAGAGGGCGGUGGAACUCCAUGUGUAGCGGUAAAAUGCGUAGAUAUAUGGAAGAACACCAGUGGCGAAGGCGGCCGCCUGGCCUGUUACUGACGCUGAGGCACGAAAGCGUGGGGAGCAAAUAGGAUUAGAUAUCCUAGUAGUC
rnacentral:rRNA from 1 species